AAUCAAAAAAACGGCGACAAGAGAUUACAUGUAUGAGGAAAUUUCCACAUGAUGUUGACAAAGACCUGCUCUAUUUUUAAAAUGAAGAUAUAUAUACUGACAUAUAGUGUACAUGUACCUUGAAGAUUUGUCCCCCUUGUAAAUACAAGAAAUGCAAAGUAUACACAGAUAUAUACAUACACAUAAAAGGAGACAUCAUCUCAUGAUCUGUGGAUCCAUUGAAAACUUUAAGGACAAAACUGUUGAUAAUUCAUUCAUGUAAAGAGUGUUGACCUGAAUAUUGAAUAUCUAAAUGGAACUAAGUUAGAGAAUUAAUUUAAUAAGUAUUAUAUUGUAUAUUACUGAAUACUCUUUUUAUUCAUCUGUCAAAUUUCUUAAUUAAAAAUUAAACUUAAAGGCUUAAAUAAGGAUUUUUUUCAUUAUUUUAAUUAGAACAAGUUCUUUAAUUUAUUUUUCUCUUACAUAAUUGAUAAACAGGCAUUUAAGGUCAUGCGCAAUGUAGUUUGCACUUUAUUGGGUUCUUCCCUGGAGUUCAAUAGUUCCACUAAAGGAAGGACAUGUGUGCAAUAUUUUUAUUGUCUAUAUAUGGAUUUGUAAAUCUCCUCUAAAACAGUUUUGAUGAAAAAAAAAAUCUGGAAUUUAUGUUUUGUAAUUUUUGUACAUUUUUUCUUUGAAUAAUGCAAAAUUUUUCAAACUUUAAUAUCUUUUCAAAAUCCCUGGAAAUGCAUGCUGAUUUUUUGUCUAAAAAUAUGUAAUAUGGUACAUGUAUUAUAAGUUUAAAUAUAGAAUUUCUUGAAAAAUUAUCAGUAGGUAAGAUACCUUGCAUAUUUCCUUAAAUGUAAAAUUAAGGGAUGUGUACCUUUAUUAAAUGAACUAGGG